rfam:Ciona intestinalis ciona0592, whole genome shotgun sequence.
CAAACGGCUCUUUUCAGAGCCACCCCUUUUGCAUACAAAAAGAUAU